rnacentral:lncRNA from 1 species
UUUCCUCUGCCCAAGACCACUGAAACGUAAAAGCAUAUCUUCUCAAAUCUUUUCCCUGUCAAUUUGCUUUUCAGAACGGUGCUAUUUCCAACCAUUUCAAGCGUCGCCCCAUAUUACUGAAAGCUGAGGUCUUCCCAUUUUCUUUUACUCUGAAGAACCCAGAUGAUUUGGCUCCGAUUCUCCUCUAGAUGAUCUUAAGGUCUCUCCCUCCAGGUAUUGUUCCUCUCCCUUCUUGAGUGUUUCUUGUGCUAGAUGGUGGGCUUCUGUGUUUUCUGACCUUGGGAUAAAAUAGAAUCUGAUUUCUUGAUAGUGAUCCUUUAAGCUUUGAAUAUCACUGAUUAUUGCCCCUAUUCUGAUCUGUCUCGACUUGUAUUUUGGCAUUUUGUAAUAAUUGUUCUUGAGUCUCCAAUUAUAUCUAAAGUAUGAUAGCCCAACUGAAUCCCUAACCUUGUUGCUUGAAAACCUGCAAAUGCUUCUACCGCGAAUGUAGAUGCAAUAUUUUCAUGAAGGGUCGACCUUGCUGCAACGAUCUUACCCUCUUCAUUUCUAACGACUAGGCCUGACGCAGAUCUAGAGUUCUGUAAGUCGAAAGCCGCAUAAAAAAAGAUGGCCUUUUUCGUCCUUUGUAAACUUUGUCUAGGCCUCACGCUAGUUUCCACGUUGAGUUUCCUAUCUCUACUCCCUUCCAGUUCCAGAAUAUAGCUUUUUAUUUGUUUGGAGAUAUCCCAGCUAGUGCUUGAUCUGUUUUCAUAUAAUAACUUAUUUCUGUUUGUCCAGAUUAACCAGAGCCCGCAACAGAAACC